rnacentral:rRNA from 1 species
CCGGAGCGGAACGGGGUCGCAGAGAAUCGGUGGCUGCGACUGUUUAUUAAAAACACAGCACUCUGCAAACACGAAAGUGGACGUAUAGGGUGUGACGCCUGCCCGGUGCCGGAAGGUUAAGUGAUGGGGUGCAAGCUCUUGAUCGAAGCCCCGGUAAACGGCGGCCGUAACAAUAACGGUCCUAAGGUAGCGAAAUUCCUUGUCGGGUAAGUUCCGACCUGCACGAAUGGCGUAACGAUGGCCACACUGUCUCCUCCUGAGACUCAGCGAAGUUGAAAUGUUUGUGAAGAUGCAAUCUCCCCGCGGCUAGACGGAAAGACCCUAUGCACCUUUACUGCAUUCUAUUUUUAGAAGUAACUAAAGGCUUUCUAGUGAGGUGGGGGAUAAUUUUAUUUUUAAGUGGAAAACCACUUAAGUUUUUUUUUUAC